ensembl:processed_transcript
ACGCCGAGAUCCCACACACAUAUUCCCACAGGCUGCGGAUUCACCAAAGCCUUAAGGCCGGAAUGUCAUUACCUCUCGCUUUUAAUUAAAGCUUUCUGCCUUCGUUUUAGCUUCCUGUCUCCGACAUCAUGCCCAGUUCAUCAGAGCAGCAUCAGUCGGCGUAGAUGAGGAAGCCGGAGAACGUGCUGUACUUGUUGGUGUUUCCUCCGUGGACUUUGCCUCCGUCCAGCUGCACACAGACCUCGUCUCCCACGUCUAAAUGCAGGAUCACACUGUUGGAGGCGUAGUCGUAAUUCUGGUCAGCGUCCUGGGCGAUAGCGCUGGCCCUCACCUGUCACACACACACACAGGACAAAUGAAGACACGGUAAGAGGAAGGACAAACAGAAGAUUGCCACCAUAUUCCAGUAAUCUAAAAUUCUUUGAUCAAUGGGUUAUUGAGUUAAUCCCCAUGAAUAUACCCUAACCCGGGGUGAUGCGGGGGCGCAGUGGAUAGCUGGUCCGAGCCUCGGCUGGACAUAACCAACGGAUGCAAACUAACAGAGCAUUCGACAGUGACAAUCCCACCACACUCCUGGGACACUUUAGCCUCAUAUGUCUGAGGUCCGACAACAAGCCGACCAUCACAACUUUAUCAGCCGCUACCAAGAGACCAGCUUUCACUAGCUGUCAAAAGCAGCACGCAGACAAUGAUCAGCCAGAUGGUCACAG